GAUGAACGCUAGCUACAGGCUUAACACAUGCAAGUCGAGGGACCGGCGCACGGGUGAGUAACACGUAUACAACCUGCCCUUUACUCGGGGAUAGCCUUUCGAAAGAAAGAUUAAUACCCGAUGUAAAGGAUGGGGAUGCGUUCCAUUAGGUUGUUGGUGAGGUAACGGCUCGCCAAGCCUUCGAUGGAUAGGGGUUCGGAGAGGAAGGUCCCCCACAUUGGAAAUGCGGCACUGUCCACACUCCUACGGGAGGCAGCGGUGAGGAAUACUGGUCAAUGGGCGUUAGCCUGAACCAGCCAAGUAGCGUGAAGGAUGAAGGCUUAUGGGUCGUAAACUUCUUUUAUAUAAGAAUAUGUAUUAUAUGAAUAAGGAUCGGCUAACUCCGUGCCAGCAGCCGCGGUAAUAC
rnacentral:rRNA from 1 species